rnacentral:lncRNA from 1 species
GCUGCAGUGGCGGGGAGUGGGGUGCGGAUCUUGUGUUUGCGCACGCAGUCGCCGGCCACCUCAGGCCGGAGCUAGAGAUACGGCUCGGGAUAGGAGGGCCCGGCGGCUCUGAGGCAGGUUCGCCUCGAGCCGCACGGCCCGGAGCAGCGGCUCCGCGGUGGUCCCCGGGGCUUGAGAGGGGUGCGGGCCUGGGAGCCCCUGAGGGCCUGAUUUACGGAACUCCCCCUCCUUCCUCCUUUCUGCCGUUCCCUGCUCUGUGGCGGAUGCGCAGGGAUCAGUAGGGACGGCAGCAGUAGGGCCACUCGGGCCUGCCCCGCUUCCCGCAUUGCCCGGUUUGGCGCGCCGCCUCCGGGCCUUGGCAAAGCCCCAGCGCCCGAUUGUCACUGACCAGUGCUUGGAAGUCCUUUACCGACUGCCCGUCAGCGUCCCGCGGAGAGGAUUUUGCGUCUCCAAAGACGCCCCUCUUCCGAAAACAGGCUCCUCUGUGUUCUCAGUCGGGUAUAUUUUUCUGUCUCCAAACUAGAUUGGCAGCCGUUUUUUGAGAGCAGGGUCUUGCUCUGUUGCCCAGACUGGAGUGCAGUGGCGCCAUCUCAGCUGACUGCAGAUUCAACCUUCUGAGCUCACGAAAUCCUCCCAUCUCAACCUCCUGAGUAGCUGGGACCACAGAGUAAGUUUCAUCGUGGAUUAUGGUUAAAGACAAGUGCUGAUUUGGUUUUCCUACCUGAUCACGAGGCCACUCGAUAGAACUAGUAAGCUAUGCCUUGGGCCUGCAGGAUGGCACCUGACUUGAAGAUAGCACCUGACUUGAAGAUGGCACCUGACUAGCAUUUGGACUGGUUUGCAGGCUGAGCACAGGGUUGCUCCAGGUGGGCCCAAAUGCUGAAGAGCCUCAUGUUAGAGUUUUUCACCUCUGCGAUGGAACUGUGGUGGACUCCAGUAUCAUCAUUCCAGGGAGGCAUAGCCGCACCAACUGUGUUCCCAGGUUUCACAUGGAGAAGGGUUUUAGAAAGUGCAGAUAGCCUUGAAACCAUUGGUUUCCUACCACUGUUUAUUUCAGCAUAACUUUUUUUGUGUGGAAUGCUAGCUCUGGAAGAGCAGAAAUAAAUACAGCUUAAGCUUUGAACCAU